rnacentral:rRNA from 1 species
GGUUAAAAAGCUCGUAGUUGGAUUUCUGUCGGUGAGUGGGAGUCCGCCCUCAGUGGUGGGUACUUUUCACGCCACCGGCAUCAUCCUGGGGACUGUGUCUGCUCUUUGUUGAGUGGCGCAUAAUCCAGGACUUUUACUUUGAAGAAAUAGGAGUGUUUCAAGCAGGCAAUCGCCAUGAACACGUUAGCAUGGAAUAAUAGCAUCGGACCUCGUUCCAAAGCUGUUGGUUUCUUGGGACGAGGUAAAGGUGAAUAGGGAUUGUUGGGGGCAUUCGUAUUUAACUGUCAGAGGUGAAAUUCUUGGAUUUGUUGAAGACGGACUACUGCGAAAGCAUCUGCCAAAGAUGUUCUCAUUGAUCAAGAACGAAAGUUAGGUGAUCGAAGACGAUCAGAUACCGUCCUAGUCUUAACCAUAAACUAUGCCGACUGGAGAUCGGGGGUCGUUAACUUUAUGACGCCCUCCUGCAUCUUGAGAGAAAUCAAAGUCUUUGGGUUCCGGGGGGAGUAUGGUCGCAAGGCUGA